UACGUAGGGUGCAAGCGUUAAUCGGAAUUACUGGGCGUAAAGCGUGCGCAGGCGGUUUUGUAAGUCUGAUGUGAAAUCCCCGGGCUCAACCUGGGAAUUGCAUUGGAGACUGCAAGGCUAGAAUCUGGCAGAGGGGGGUAGAAUUCCACGUGUAGCAGUGAAAUGCGUAGAGAUGUGGAGGAACACCGAUGGAGAAGGCAGCCCCCUGGGUCAAGAUUGACGCUCAUGCACGAAAGCGUGGGGAGCAAACAGG
rnacentral:rRNA from 1 species